rnacentral:RNase_P_RNA from 1 species
GGAGUCUGCCGGACAAUCGCUGUCCUGCAUGCAGGAGAGAGGAAAGUCCGGGCUCUACAGGGCAGAGUGCCAGAUAACGUCUGGGCGGCGUGAGCCGACGGAAAGUGCAACAGAAAGUAUACCGCCUAAGGGCUCUUCGGAGUCACGGUAAGGUUGAAAUGGUGCGGUAAGAGCGCACCGCGUGGGUGGUAACACUCCACGGCGAUGGAAAACCCCACUCAGAGCAAGACCAAAUAGGGAUCCUUCAGGUGUGGCCCGCACUGGAUCCGGGUAGGUUGCUUGAGGCCAGUGGUGACGCUGGUCCUAGAUGAAUGAUUGUCCCCGACAAAACCCGGCUUACAGGCAGGCUCCCAUC